rnacentral:rRNA from 1 species
GACGAACGCUGGCGGCGUGCUUAACACAUGCAAGUCGAACGGAAAGGCCCUGCUUGCAGGGUACUCGAGUGGCGAACGGGUGAGUAACACGUGGGUGAUCUGCCCUGCACUUCGGGAUAAGCCUGGGAAACUGGGUCUAAUACCGGAUAGGAGCCAUUUUUAGUGUGAUGGUUGGAAAGUUUUUUCGGUGUAGGAUGAGCUCGCGGCCUAUCAGCUUGUUGGUGGGGUAAUGGCCUACCAAGGCGGCGACGGGUAGCCGGCCUGAGAGGGUGGACGGCCACAUUGGGACUGAGAUACGGCCCAGACGCCUACGGGAGGCAGCAGGGGGGAAUAUUGCACAAUGGGCGCAAGCCUGAUGCAGCGACGCCGCGUGGGGGAUGACGGCCUUCGGGUUGGAAACUCCUUUCGCUAGGGACGAAGCUUUUUGUGACGGUACCUAGAUAAGAAGCACCGGCUAACUACGUG